GUUUUAAGACAGACUUGAAUACUUGUGAACCUGUCCUUUAAAGCUUGUGACAUCUUGUAGUAUUUACAUAAAUAACAUAUUGCUACACAGUGCUGCGUUCAUGUCAUAUUGGAAAAAGCAACAAAAACAUGUUUAUUUA